ensembl:lncRNA
GUGGUAGAAUUAGUGUCCAUGGUAACAAACUAGGAGCAGAGCAGCAGGGAACAUGAGGGGAACAAGGAAACAAUAGGCACACAGAACUACGUAUUAAAAGUCCUUGAACACAGAGACCAGAAACACAGACAAGGAUCGUAACAACAGUGUAAGAUCCGUGUUGUGUUUUGUUCUCUCCACUGCGCUUCCGCAUUCGUCACUUCUCACCGGGGCAUGUGCUACACCUUCGUCCCACAUCAUCCGCUGGACUGGAACAAACUGAAAACUGAACUGGAAUGAAUGCACGUACGACAGUUAGAGACGGAUUAACGCUCCCCGCUGGAUCGGGGGGCUGUGAGCGGGACAAUGC